rnacentral:rRNA from 1 species
AAACCAGCACCUCAAGUGGUCAGGAUGAUUAUUGGGCCUAAAGCAUCCGUAGCCGGCUCUGUAAGUUUUCGGUUAAAUCUGUACGCUCAACGUACAGGCUGCCGGAAAUACUGCAGAGCUAGGGAGUGGGAGAGGUAGACGGUACUCGGGAGGAAGGGGUAAAAUCCUUUGAUCUCUCGAUGACCACCUGUGGCGAAGGCGGUCUACCAGAACAUGUCCGACGGUGAGGGAUGAAAGCUGGGGGAGCAAACCGGAUUAGAAACCCCGGUAGUCC